AUUGAACGCUGGCGGCAGGCUUAACACAUGCAAGUCGAGCGGGGGAAGGUAGCUUGCUUCCGGACCUAGCGGCGGACGGGUGAGUAAUGCUUAGGAAUCUGCCUAUUAGUGGGGGACGACAUCUCGAAAGGGAUGCUAAUACCGCAUACGUCCUACGGGAGAAAGCAGGGGAUCUUCGGACCUUGCGCUAAUAGAUGAGCCUAAGUUGGAUUAGCUAGUUGGUGGGGUAAAGGCCUACCAAGGCGACGAUCUGUAGCGGGUCUGAGAGGAUGAUCCGCCACACUGGGACUGAGACACGGCCCAGACUCCUACGGGAGGCAGCAGUGGGGAAUAUUGGACAAUGGGGGGAACCCUGAUCCAGCCAUGCCGCGUGUGUGAAGAAGCCCUUAUGGUUGUAAAGCACUUUAAGCGAGGAGGAGGCUACUUUAGUUAAUACCUAGAGAUAGUGGACGUUACUCGCAGAAUAAGCACCGGCUAACUCUGUGCCAGCCGCCGCAGUAACAC
rnacentral:rRNA from 1 species